GGCCUAUCAGCUUGUUGGUGGGGUGAUGGCCUACCAAGGCGACGACGGGUAGCCGGCCUGAGAGGGUGACCGGCCACACUGGGACUGAGACACGGCCCAGACUCCUACGGGAGGCAGCAGUGGGGAAUAUUGCGCAAUGGGCGGAAGCCUGACGCAGCGACGCCGCGUGAGGGAUGAAGGCCUUCGGGUUGUAAACCCCUUUCAGCUCCGAAGAAGCGAGAGUGACGGUAGGAGCAGAAGAAGCACCGGCUAACUACGUGCCAGCAGCCGCGGUAAUACGUAGGGUGCAAGCGUUGUCCGGAAUUAUUGGGCGUAAAGAGCUCGUAGGCGGCUCGUCGCGUCUGCUGUGAAAGCCCGGGGCUUAACCCCGGGUCUGCAGUGGGUACGGGCGGGCUAGAGUGCGGUAGGGGAGACUGGAAUUCCUGGUGUAGCGGUGAAACGCGCAGAUAUCAGGAGGAACACCGGUGGCGAAGGCGGGUCUCUGGGCCGUAACUGACGCUGAGGAGCGAAAGCAUGGGUAGCGAACAGGAUUAGAUACCCUGGUAGUCCAUGCCGUAAACGUUGGGCGCUAGGUGUGGGCCGCAUUCCACGUAGUCCGUGCCGCAGCUAACGCAUUAAGCGCCCCGCCUGGGGAGUACGG
rnacentral:rRNA from 1 species